AAGAGAGUUAUCAUAUCACAAAUACCACAAUGAUUUUUAUCUGAAUGGCUUCCUUCCAAAAUUCCAGAUCCAUCUAAACUUUUACUUCAUUGGAGGGUCCUUCCUGACCCAUGCAACUCAACAAAAAACUCUCACAGUUUUUAUAUGCUUUGUUGGGGAUUAACCCAUCUUGCAUUGCAUUGCUAGCUUAGUAUGUCUAGCAUGGGCAUGCCUGCUGAAGUUUGGAACUUCCCAUCAAGGAAACAGGAAAAUGCCAUUGGCAAUGAGCUGAAGACUGAUUUACUCUACCAGGAGCAGCAGGACAUCUGGGGAUGAGAAGAUGGAGAGAUCAUCCUUAUAUAAUGUUGCAGUCUGGAAGCAUCACUCUCAAAAAGCCAUUGUAGAGAAUCCAAGCCGAGUUUAAGAGUGCUGUGGAAAUACACUGCUGCUACUGCUGUUUCUAUUACUGUUUGAUGCUGGGACUCUUAUGCUCCAACCACGUUUUCACCCAGCUGAGUCGCCUUCGUAUCACGCCUUUCCAGUUCAACAAAGUGUGGACAGCUGUGCAGAAAUAUGAUUGGACAAAAAUGUUGUGAUCUAAAGCUAAUGGACUGAGUGUGGAAACCCAACAAGGCCUGUCUGUCUAGAUUCUUCUUGGCCUCUCUGAGCAGCGUUCCUUCCUUCUGGGUGUAAGGCAAGACCCUCUCUGGAGUGGGGGUGUUAUGACCUACAGUCAAACAAGGUUUUGAUAGACUAGAAAAAUGACAAGACUCCAAGUCCUUGAAGAGGAGGAAAAGUGUGAAGAAAACAAAAAAGGGAGAUUUAUGUCUGCUUCACCAUUUUGCCCAAGACUUGACCUGUCAUACACUGAAGCUCAGAGAGGAAGAAAGGACCGUGUGAGAGAAGAAGGGAACAGCCUUUCAUCCAUAGGAGAAGUUCGUCUAUGACAAAGCCACUAGCUCCAUGUGGCCGCUGAGCACUCAAAAUGUGGCCAGUCUGAAUUGAGAUAUGUUGUUAGUAUAAAGUCCACAUCGGCUUUUUGAGCACUUUGUAUGAGAAAAAAGAAUACCAAAUAUCUCCUUAAUAAUUGUUACAUUGAUUAUAUGUUGAACUGAUAACAUUAUGGAUAUAUUGGAUUAAAUAAAAUAAAUUAUUAAAAUCAAAUAAAAAAUAAAAUCAAUUUCACCUGUUU
rnacentral:lncRNA from 1 species